GUGCUUUGGGGUGGGGUGACUGCGUACCUUUUGUAUAAUGGGUCAGCGACUUAUAUUCUGUAGCAAGGUUAACCGUAUAGGGGAGCCGAAGGGAAACCGAGUCUUAACUGGGCGUUAAGUUGCAGGGUAUAGACCCGAAACCCGGUGAUCUAGCCAUGGGCAGGUUGAAGGUUGGGUAACACUAACUGGAGGACCGAACCGACUAAUGUUGAAAAAUUAGCGGAUGACUUGUGGCUGGGGGUGAAAGGCCAAUCAAACCGGGAGAUAGCUGGUUCUCCCCGAAAGCUAUUUAGGUAGCGCCUCGUGAACUCAUCUUCGGGGGUAGAGCACUGUUUCGGCUAGGGGGUCAUCCCGACUUACCAACCCGAUGCAAACUGCGAAUACCGAAGAAUGUUAUCACGGGAGACACACGGCGGGUGCUAACGUCCGUCGUGAAGAGGGAAACAACCCAGACCGCCAGCUAAGGUCCCAAAGUCACAGUUAAGUGGGAAACGAUGUGGGAAGGCUCAGACAGCCAGGAUGUUGGCUUAGAAGCAGCCAUCAUUUAAAGAAAGCGUAAUAGCUCACUGGUCGAGUCGGCCUGCGCGGAAGAUGUAACGGGGCUAAACUGUGCACCGAAGCUGCGGCAGCGACGCUUAUGCGUUGUUGGGUAGGGGAGCGUUCUGUAAGCCUGCGAAGGUGUCCUGUGAGGGAUGCUGGAGGUAUCAGAAGUGCGAAUGCUGACAUAAGUAACGAUAA
rnacentral:rRNA from 1 species